AGAAACAGGAAACAGGCCAGGUGGAGACAUAAAGAGAAGUGCCAACCUCCGAAUGAUAACAUCCUUUACUGGACCUCAGGUGUCUUUUUUGUCCGGGCACCUGAAGAGCUAUUUCUGAAGGAAAGGGCUACAUAGCGCUCGACGCGGAGACUCCUGAAACACCCUUCUUCACCUUUUCAAAUUUCCUUUUUGUAACUGGUGAGGACUCACCUCCUCUAAAAAGUUUAUCCAAACAAGAAAGAAGUUGGUUAUGGCCGUGCGACUGCGGUCCCGUUAAUGCAGACACACGUCUAUCAACUCAGGCACCAACGGUUAGUCUCUUACCGGCAGACGGGAUGCUUGCAUCUGGCCAACGCCCCUUCUGUGACGCUCCUCCCGUCCCACUGUCCGCCAGAGUCACCCUCCAGCACCUCUGGUUAUUACUUACUCUGCUGCGUGUGGUCUCAGUCGGAAGGCUGUUGUCUCCUGCGCUGGUGGGAUGAGCCUGCACUCAGCCGGCCGCCCACCAAGCCGCUCCGGAUGUGUCAGAGACGUCACAGGAGCCUGGAAGGAAGAUGCCAGCGUUACGUCCACUGACAGAUGAGGAACCUGAGGCAUCGAUAGAUUAACUAGUUCAUCCCACACCUCACGGCCAGCAAGUGGCAGAGCUGGGAUUUGGCCCUCCGCAAUCUAAUUCUAGAACACAGACUCUCAUCCUCUGCGCUAUGCUGCUUUUCUUUGAAAAUAGUUAUUUCAUUAAAGAAAUAUUUACUGA